UACGGGGGGGGCAAGCGUUGUUCGGAAUUACUGGGCGUAAAGGGCUCGUAGGUGGCCAACUAAGUCAGACGUGAAAUCCCUCGGCUUAACCGGGGAACUGCGUCUGAUACUGGAUGGCUAGAGUUUGGGAGAGGGAUGCGGAAUUCCAGGUGUAGCGGUGAAAUGCGUAGAUAUCUGGAGGAACACCGGUGGCGAAGGCGGCAUCCUGGACCAACACUGACGCUGAGGAGCGAAAGCGUGGGGAGCGAACAGG
rnacentral:rRNA from 1 species